AUGGCCAAGCGCUUCCCAGGCGACGGCGCGGCGGCGAACGGCUUCGGCCGCCGCCAUCUUCAUGAAGACGAGGCUCGCCUCCUUUACGAGGCCGAGUACCCGGUCCCGCCGGACAUGCGGGUGCCCGGGGCGUGGAGGAUCAGCGCGGGCGGCAUGCCGGUGCCCCCGGUACCCACCGGCGCGGCGCGGCGUGCGGAGAUAGCACGCAUCCGCGGGAACCUGCCGCGUGCGGCGAGGGAGGGGCCACGGUACGUCCCCGACAGCCCGCUCUGGGACCCUUACUUCCGCCGCCGUCACGCCCAGCAGCUCGAGGCCACCAACGGCGUCGUGCCCUCCGGCAAGCUCAACGCCGCCGGCCGGCGUCGGUGGUGGGGCGUGCCCGGGCGCACGUUGGAGGCCGUCCUCGAGUACAUCGAGGGCGGCAACACGCUGCGCCUCGAGUACCCCGCUCCCCCUUCCUUCUCACGCCGCCGGGGAAGCUCCUGGACCCCGAGGCGCAUGGAGACCGGGGGGUCCUCCUCCUCGUCCGGCGGCUCGCCCUGCCUCCGCCCCGUCAAGCCGGAGCCCCAGGGCACGUCGGUCAGCGCGUGCACCCGUAGCUCCGGCGUCCGCAUCGGCGCCAACGCCUCUCCACCCACCGGCCGCUUCGUCCUCGUCGAGCCCAAGCCGGAGCCCGGCCUCCCCGCGGAGUACGAGGAGAUAGCCCGGCGCGGCUUCUCCGACGAGGACGCCAUGCGGUGGGCGCGGGACGACUACCUCCGCGAGGAGACGGUCCGGCAGCGCCAGGCCCUGGAGGAGAUCGCCGCCCGCAAGCGUGGGCGUGAGGACGAGCACGGCGUCGUGGUCCUCGACAGCGACGACGACGACGACGCCGCCCCCGGACCAUCCAACCCACCGCGCCAACCGGGGGAGGGAUGCAGCAGGGACGGCGGAGGCGGAGGCGGGGCCGGCGACGACGAUGACGACGACGGCGGUGACUACACGCGGUUCUACAGCCUCCUUGGCAUGUAG
rnacentral:rRNA from 1 species